CGGGACGGGGUGAGUAAUGUCUGGGAAACUAGCCUGAUGGAGGGGGGUAACUACUGGAAACGGUAGCUAAUACCGCAUAACGUCGCAAGACCAAAGAGGGGGACCUUCGGGCCUCUUGCCAUCGGAUGUGCCCAGAUGGGAUUAGCUAGUAGGUGGGGUAACGGCUCACCUAGGCGACGAUCCCUAGCUGGUCUGAGAGGAUGGCCAGCCACACUGGAACUGAGACACGGUCCAG
rnacentral:rRNA from 1 species